GAGCGUGGAGGAGAUGCGCUCACUUGGAUGCCAAGGAGGACAGGCAGCGCCCUCUGAAGGAAUUUGUCAACUGGACUGAGAGACAAUCAAAACAGUCAGACACGGAACAUGCUGAGCGCCACGCUGCUGCCGGGGAAUUCUCUUCUGAAGCUUGGGUGACGCUCCUGCCCGCCUCACAGGCACACAGCUGAACCUCCUGUGCGUGCAUCACCUGAACGGUCACAGCUCGACCCAAGUCUGCUCUUAAAUUCCACCACCUGUGAAACAGCCAGCGAGCAGCCUGGCCCAGCACUCCCCACUCCCAAAAGACAGGACCCUAUGGGGGAAGAAACUGCUGCCCAAAUCUUCUGAAUGUCGCUUACAAACUCCUUUUUCUGCUAAAACCUUCCAUUCUGUGACAGCACAGAGAGGAUGAUGCAGACUGCAGCUGGGAAGCUGCUUCCUACUCCUCCAGGCCCCUGCUGGGUCACCCUAGAGCUGCCAAGGCCAGCAACUGAGGAGGAGGAGGGCAGGCAGGCAGGGCUCCUUCCAGCCACUCCAGCUUCUCCAGCAGUUUAGCGCAUGCUGGAAGGUGCUGGCGCUGAUCCGCCCCUGGCAGUGCUGGUGAGAGAGGCAAGUUACUCCUCGCAGAUCUGUGUCUCCAGCUCGGUGCGCGUCUCCCUACGGACAUGGAAGAGUGCGGGUCCCCUGAGGAGCAGGGAGGCGAGGGGCCCUGCAGAGCAGCCACCUUCUGCUGAGAAGGAGCCUGGACUCACUGGCACAGUGCAGCCAGAGGGGGCUUCGGUGGGCACCGAGGCUGGGGAGUCGGGCUCACCAAUGCGCAGAAUGCUGUCGCUGUUCUCACUACGGCACCUCCUGCAUUUUCACUCAUUGUGGGGAAGGGAUGUUCACACUGCCUUGGUUUACCGGACUGCCACGUGAAACUCCACUAUCUGCUAAAGUAAGCUAAGAGCAGAGCAGAGAAAAUCAACAGCAGCACACGCCGCCUGCAUCCCAUGCGCACCUCCGGCCACGGCCAUUGCUCACCUCUGAAGACAAUGCUGCAUUUAUGUUGGAUUCAAUAACACAAAUGGAGCGUUCACAGGGCAAGGAGACCCACCCCAGGGCUCCUGAGGGCUUCCUAAUGAGGAUCCUGGGAGCCGGGUGGGUGGGGAUGAGGCCCAAGCUGUCCCAGGCCCGGCCCCACACACCAGCUGCAGAGAUGAGAACCACAAUCGCAUUCACGCAUUCGUGCGCCUACGGCUGUGUCAGACGUGACUUGUGCUAUUUCUGUAUCAAAAACCAUUCAAAAUGCCACGAGUUCCCAACAGAAGCUGCUAGUGCUUUUGACCCAAAGCACCCUGAAGAAAACAAUAAAACCUUCUCUCCUUAAAGAAUGCAGCAUCAAAACAAAAAAGUCUGUAUUCUCAUGAAUAUUCUACGGUACAGCAGAAAACGGCUUUUAUAGGUUGUGCCUUGAGAAACAUAUUAAGACAAUCAGACUCCUGACGUCAGUGAGAGCACAAAGGCCGCAUUCAGAGUCCAAUGGGAGACGGUCAGUGUGCUGUGAAUGAAUUCUCAAUCACAAACAGAAAAACCUGUUAGUCUCUCUCUCUCGCUCUUUUAAAAUAAAUGUUCAUAAAGAAGCAUACUGAUUUUCCACGACAUGCUUAGGUCCUCUUCUCAGGACGCGAUUUCAUGCCAUCAUACAGAUAUGGAAGAAAAAGAGGCACUAUUCUUUAGGUAACACAGUCAAUGUUUAGGGUCUCUUCAAGUAAAGAAUGACUCAUUCAAAUCAAGGGAAAAAUAAUAGAUAUUUCAACUAUGUAACCAUGAUUUCCUCUUACACUGAUAUUUUGCCUCUAUGUGGGGGUGGGGGGAAGAGAGAGGAUGGGACAGAAGAGGAGGGAGACAGCACAUCAGAAAUGCAUGACUUAGCUACAAUGUCCUUCACCCUUUAUUUAUUGUGCAGUGUGCCAUCCAUGCUGAAGAACAAGUAUGUUUAGUAAAAGAACAGUAAUGAAACCAGCACCAGUGCAUCCUCCGCUUCAAUGAGGCCCAAACGUCACCCUCUGCGUCCCUUCAAACCACAUGCACCCCCUACCCCGUGAGCAACAUCCUGACCUUGUUAAGUGUCCUCUUGCUUUGCUAUGAUAAUAACAUCUGCAUAUAUGUGGCCCUGAAAACACGUCCUUUGCUUUCUGAAGACUGAAGGCAGCAACACCAGUGCAGUGGAAGGAGGAGUUGACGAUGGUUCCCGGGACAGGACAGUCUCGAGUCCGAGUCUGCCGUCAGCUUCUGGGACAGGGGACCAGAGCUUCUUCUGGGGUGAAGCCACGGGUGACCCCCAGGAAACCAAGUACACCCCGUCUAACAUCUGGCAGGGCAGUCAUGUGGACCAGAACCAGGUGCCAGAAGGUGUGGUCUGGGGGGUGAGCUGCCCUCCAUGGUGGCCACCUCCAGCUCUCAGGUGGGAACUGGGCAGAAGACCCCCUUGGAGAAAUGAGUGACCUCGGGGAAUCGAGGCAGUGGGGCAAGGAAGAGAGAGUGGGGCCAUGUGGUCAACAGAGGUCAGGCACAGACAAGCGGCUGAGUGUUGCAUCCUCAGGUUUAGGCAGCGAGGCAGGCAGUCUGGUGAGGCCGGCCCAGACGCUGCCUCCGAAGCUGUGCCACUCACCCCGGGCAGGCGCUCCCUCUGUCUGCACUGCUGCUGGCCUGGACGGGUCCAACUCCUCCAGGGGAUUCCCUCUGUCUCUGCCCUACCUUAAGUCUCCCGCUUCCUUUGUCCCAGCCAUCGUCUUCCUUGGUUUAUUUUCUCACUCUGCAGAACUCAGGCUCCAGCUGUGUCUUAAAAAGGGAGGCAUGAGAGUAAGUUCUGCACAUCUGAAAACGUGUCGAUUCUCCCCUUCACGCGUCCUGACUUUGGCUGGGUAUAGAAUUCCAGCUUGAAGACCAUCCUUCGCCUUCGGGAUUCUGAAGGCGCAACUCUGUUGUCUUCCUCUCCCAGUACUGUCAGGAAAAUGGGCGCCACGUGAUGCUGCACCUUGAGUGUGACUCGAUGUCUCUCUCCGGGUAUCUAUAAGGUCUUCUCCAGGCCCCCAGCGUUCCGAAAUUUCGAAGCCGUGUGGUUUGGUGAAGACCUUUCACACCCACUGCUGGGCGCCUGGCUGGUCCUUUGGAGACGGCAGCUCCCGUGCUCCCAUCGUAGGGGGCUCCCUGAAGCACUUCAUCAAGGGUUCCCCUUUCCCAUUCUCUCCUUCUGGAACUUCUACCCCUUGAGUAGGAGAUCUCCCAGAACAAUACUGGGUCUUUUCCAUCCUCCCUGUUUUCCUUGUCUUUGUCUUACACGCUUCUUCAUGUGUGAUUUCCUUAA
ensembl:lncRNA novel transcript, antisense to HDAC4